AAUGAACGCUGGCGGCAUGCCUAACACAUGCAAGUCGAACGGCAGCACCGUAAGUGCUUGCUCUUACGGGUGGCGAGUGGCGGAAGGGUGAGGUAUGCAUCGGAUACCUCUUUUUCGGGGGUGAUAACGUAGGGUAACUUAUUCUAAUACCGCAUAUGUCGUACGGGUGUAAGCAGGGGUUCUUCUGACUUUUCGGGAUUGUAAGAGCCGAUGUCGGCUUCGCUCGUUGGCUGGGUAAAGGCGCACCAAGGCGACGAUCCGUAGCUGAUCCGAGCGGAUGAUCAGCCACACUGGAACUGAGACACGGUCCAGACUCCUACGGGAGGCAGCAGUGGGGAAUAUUGCGCAAUGGGCGAAAGCCUGAUACAGCAAUACCGGGUGAGUGAUGAAGGACUACGGGUUGUAAAGCGAUGUUGUUGGGAAAGAAAAGCAGCGCAUUUACCCGCGACUAUAAUGACGGUACCGGAAGAAUAAGCUCCGGCUAACUUCGUG
rnacentral:rRNA from 1 species